GUGCCAGCAGCCGCGGUAAUACGGAGGGUGCGAGCGUUAAUCGGAAUUACUGGGCGUAAAGGGCGCGUAGGCGGCUGAUCAAGUCAGGUGUGAAAGCCCACGGCUUAACCGUGUGAAGUGCAUCUGAAACUGGUCGGCUUGAGUAUCGGAGAGGAAAGUGGAAUUCCCGGUGUAGAGGUGAAAUUCGUAGAUAUCGGGAGGAACACCAGUGGCGAAGGCGGCUUGCUGGGCCAUAACUGACACUGAGGCACGAAAGCGUGGGGAGCAAACAGGAUUAGAUACCCUGGUAGUCCACGCCGUA
rnacentral:rRNA from 1 species